GACGAACGCUGGCGGCGUGCUUAACACAUGCAAGUCGAACGGAAAGGCCCUGCUUUUGUGGGGUGCUCGAGUGGCGAACGGGUGAGUAACACGUGAGUAACCUGCCCUUGACUUUGGGAUAACUUCAGGAAACUGGGGCUAAUACCGGAUAGGAGCUCCUGCUGCAUGGUGGGGGUUGGAAAGUUUCGGCGGUUGGGGAUGGACUCGCGGCUUAUCAGCUUGUUGGUGGGGUAGUGGCUUACCAAGGCUUUGACGGGUAGCCGGCCUGAGAGGGUGACCGGCCACAUUGGGACUGAGAUACGGCCCAGACUCCUACGGGAGGCAGCAGUGGGGAAUAUUGCACAAUGGGCGGAAGCCUGAUGCAGCAACGCCGCGUGCGGGAUGACGGCCUUCGGGUUGUAAACCGCUUUCGCCUGUGACGAAGCGCGAGUGACGGUAAUGGGUAAAGAAGCACCGGCUAACUACGUG
rnacentral:rRNA from 1 species